rnacentral:rRNA from 1 species
CCCUUAGAGUUUGAUCCUGGCUCAGGAUGAACGCUAGCGGCAGGCUUAACACAUGCAAGUCGAGGGGUAUAGUUCUUCGGAAUUAGAGACCGGCGCACGGGUGCGUAACGCGUAUGCAAUCUACCUUUUGCAGAGGGAUAGCCCAGAGAAAUUUGGAUUAAUACCUCAUAGUAUUAUGGUAUGACAUCAUAUUAUAAUUAAAGUCACAACGGCAAAAGAUGAGCAUGCGUCCCAUUAGCUAGUUGGUAAGGUAACGGCUUACCAAGGCUACGAUGGGUAGGGGUCCUGAGAGGGAGAUCCCCCACACUGGUACUGAGACACGGACCAGACUCCUACGGGAGGCAGCAGUGAGGAAUAUUGGUCAAUGGACGCAAGUCUGAACCAGCCAUGCCGCGUGCAGGAUGACGGUCCUAUGGAUUGUAAACUGCUUUUGUACGAGAAGAAACACUACUUCGUGAAGUAGCUUGACGGUAUCGUAAGAAUAAGGAUCGGCUAACUCCGUGCCAGCAGCCGCGGUAAUACGGAGGAUCCAAGCGUUAUCCGGAAUCAUUGGGUUUAAAGGGUCCGUAGGCGGUCUUAUAAGUCAGUGGUGAAAUCUCCCCGCUCAACGGGGAAACUGCCAUUGAUACUGUAGGACUUGAAUAAUUAGGAAGUAACUAGAAUAUGUAGUGUAGCGGUGAAAUGCUUAGAGAUUACAUGGAAUACCAAUUGCGAAGGCAGGUUACUACUAAUUCAUUGACGCUGAUGGACGAAAGCGUGGGUAGCGAACAGGAUUAGAUACCCUGGUAGUCCACGCCGUAAACGAUGGAUACUAGCUGUUGGGGGCAACUUCAGUGGCUAAGCGAAAGUGAUAAGUAUCCCACCUGGGGAGUACGAACGCAAGUUUGAAACUCAAAGGAAUUGACGGGGGCCCGCACAAGCGGUGGAGCAUGUGGUUUAAUUCGAUGAUACGCGAGGAACCUUACCAAGGCUUAAAUGUAGAUUGACCGUUUUGGAAACAGAACUUUCGCAAGACAAUUUACAAGGUGCUGCAUGGUUGUCGUCAGCUCGUGCCGUGAGGUGUCAGGUUAAGUCCUAUAACGAGCGCAACCCCUGUUGUUAGUUGCCAUCGAGUCAUGUCGGGAACUCUAACGAGACUGCCAGUGCAAACUGUGAGGAAGGUGGGGAUGACGUCAAAUCAUCACGGCCCUUACGCCUUGGGCUACACACGUGCUACAAUGGCCGGUACAGAGAGCAGCCACUGGGUGACCAGGAGCGAAUCUACAAAGCCGGUCACAGUUCGGAUCGGAGUCUGCAACUCGACUCCGUGAGCUGGAAUCGCUA